rnacentral:rRNA from 1 species
GAACAAACCAACCCUAGGAGGCUGCUGCACAUCCAGGUUUUUCUGAUCCAACAUCGAGGUCGCAAGCUCUCUUGUCAAUGUGUACUCUUAAAGAGAAUUACGCUGUUAUCCCUAAGGUAACUUUUUCUUUUGCUCAGAACUUUCUGGGUCCAUUAUACUAGACUCAAUUCAUUUAUAUUAAUCCCCUGUUGUAAAAAAGGGGAGGUUGCCCCAACCAAACCUUGUACUAUAUUGAACUAUAAUCUUAAGGUAAAGCUCUAUAGGGUCUUCUCGUCCCACUUAUUAAUUAAGGCCUCUUCACCUUAAAAUCAAUUUCGAGUCAAAUAAAGAGAGACAGUUUCUCUGUCGUCUAGCCGUUGAUACUAGCCUGCAAUUAACAGGCGAAUGAUUAUGCUACCUUUGCACAGUCAGUAAUACUGCAGCCGUUUAACUAUUGUCACCGGGCAGGCAGAACCUUAAAUCUAUUUCUAAAGGCGAUGUUUUUGUUAAA